rnacentral:lncRNA from 12 species
GAAAAUACGACCCAUUUUCCACUGUCAGUGAAUCAGAAGUGAAUCAUUUCUCCUGUAAAAGGCAAGAAUAACAUCCCUUGUUCUUGCAUGUGGAACCUGCACAGCAAUCCAUCUGUAGGUCUUUACUCUGCCCACCUGCCAUAAUGCUAUUCUCUCUUGCCUUGCAGAAACUGCAUGACACUUGUAAUCAGAACUCGUUUUGCAACUGGACUCACAACAAGAAGGAGGCACAUCAGGGCCUAGGAAACUGAUUUACAUCACCAAGGUUACAAGAAGGGAAUUUCUGCCCUCCAGAGGUACUGAAAGCCCCUUGGACUUGAAGAGUAUCCUGAAUUUCUACUAUCUUCAGCAAGAGAAGAAAAUAUUCAGCACCAGAGAACUGUGGAUGCAGGGUGAUCAGAGCCGGGUCACCAGGCUGAGCAGUCAAGGUACCAG